UCCUACGGGUGGCAGCAGUGGGGAAUAUUGGACAAUGGGCGAAAGCCUGAUCCAGCAAUGCCGCGUGAGUGAAGAAGGCCUUAGGGUUGUAAAGCUCUUUCGGCGGGGAAGAUGGUGACGGUACCCGCAGAAGAAGCCCCGGCUAACUUCGUGCCAGCAGCCGCGGUAAUACGAAGGGGGCUAGCGUUGUUCGGAAGCACUGGGCGUAAAGGGCGCGUAGGCGGCGCGACAAGUCAGGCGUGAAAGCCACGGGCUCAACCCGGGAAUUGCGCUUGAUACUGUCGUGCUUGAGGCCGGGAGAGGAUGGCGGAAUUCCCAGUGUAGAGGUGAAAUUCGUAGAUAUUGGGAAGAACACCGGUGGCGAAGGCGGCCAUCUGGACCGGUACUGACGCUGAGGCGCGAAAGCGUGGGGAGCAAACAGGAUUAGAUACCCUUGUAGUCG
rnacentral:rRNA from 1 species